UUCCAUUGCACUACAUGGUAGUGUCAUCCCUGACCAUGGUUUAUUUGGGUCGGUCCAGUUAAACCACUGCUAACAUAGUCGUAGGGCACGACUAAAAGCUCUGAGUUUAAGGAUCCCAAAACCACCAAGUCUCGUGGGCCGGCACACUCGACACCAGUUGACGAGGAAGUGGCCGCCCUUUGCCUCCUCUGGCCUUUUCCAGAGGAAGUUAUGCUGUAUUCUAUCGAUUUUCUUCACUGCCCAAUUAGAGAGAGGGAAUACUAUUAUGUGGUAUGUUGGGAUGGACAACAGGACAGAACGGACUAGAGUAAGUCUCCCCGCCUUUGUCAUUAGUCUUCCUUUCCAUCCUGGUAACUUGGCUGCUAUCUUAUGAAUGAUUACUUGCUCAUCUGCUUUGCAUAACCUCCCUAUGCGCAACGGCAAACCAAGGCUGGUGACUUCCCCAAAUCUACUCAACUGUUGAUUGGUCAUGUCUGAUGCGACCGGCCAAAGGAACAAUGAUGCAUCGUCUGUGUAGAGACUGGUGCGGAGGUGGAUCGGGUUAGCACCAAUAGGUGUUAGUAAGCCUUGUUAUGUUGCUUUGUCUAGGAUGCCAUGUAUCGGGUCCAUGGCCAGAAUAAAUAGCAUAGGUGAUAGCAGGUCCCCUUGUCUCAGACCUCGUCAGUGAAUAAUAGAUUUGCCAGACUGUCCAUUUAGUAGGAUACAAGAUGUUGUGGACUACCAUAUGAGGGACAUCAUGUUGCACCAUCUCUACCUAAAGCCAAGCUUCUGCAUAACUUCAAGUAGAUAGUCCCACCUGACAAAGUCAAAGGCCUUGGCGAUGUCUAGUUUUAGGCAAAACAUUGGUGACAUGCUUUUAUGGGAAUGUCGGAUUGCCUCUUGAAUGUAUUGAAAGUUAUAUUGGAUUCUUCUUCCUUUAAUGAAUGCACUCUGACUAUGUGACACAAGACUAUUUAGGUGUGGCACCAAUCUAUUUACAAGUACUUCACCAAGUAUCGUUACCACACUAUGCAUAAGGCUGCUGAGGCGGAAAUCUGCAGCAGUAGUGGCUUCCUCCUUCUUGGGCAGAGCUUGUAGGAGAUCUGCUUUAACCACUGGCCAACAUGUUUUGUAGAAGAGACCAAUGUAGCCAUCCGGUCUUGGUGCUUUUUCCAUUGGAGCGUCAAAGAUGGCCUAUUUUACUUCCUCCUUAGUUAGCUCAUGGUCCAGGUGUGUCAAGUCCAUGGACUGAAUUUUCAGGAAAUCCCAAUUUAAACUAUAUGUCCUGGUUGGAUUGUGUCAAGGAGGCCAUUGUAAUGGUGGUGCAAGGAGUGAGCUUUAUCUUCCUGUGUGGUUAGUGUUCUGCCUUCAGCCACCAAUGUUGGAAUGUAUUUUUUCUAUCACCUGGCAUUGGCUCGGAGGUGGAAGAGUUUGGUAUUAGCAUCACCCAGACGUAUCCAUGUUAACCUUGAUCGCUGACGUAUUUUAAUUCUUCGGACGACAGCAAAUCCAAGGAUUUUGGCCUUGGCGUGCUUGCGUAGCAUGUUCUUCAGAUGUUAGCGCCCUAUGCUCUUGUGCUGUUGGAAUUCAACCUACUUACGGCGGUUAUGCUUGCCAUUGACCUCUUGCCAGCCAUCGCCCGCGGGCGCGGCUAGGGCUUGAGCAAUAGAUUGGCUGGCAUUAGUGGAGGGGAAUUUCACGUGUCGGUGUACUGGUACUCUGCUUUGAUUUCGAAAGGUGUUUGGCUCUCGAAGUGGAACCACAAUCACGAACUUGAGCUACAGUCAACUCUUGUGCAAAGGAGGCGGUGGUGGAGUUGAGGAGUUGACCACAACCCUGGUAGUGGUGGACUGGUGACUAACCUUGGCCUGCUACUGGUCUUGCUCAUUUCCCUUUAGCAGCUAUGGUCACAGGCCGCAUGGUCCGUUCCGACGAAGGUGUGAGCAGCACCGUCUUGAAGGAUGGCUUCCCAGCGUCCUUUUGCUGGUUUGUGGUGGAUUCCUCCCUGGCACAACCGAGAGCGCUCGUGGAGCUGUCUGGGGUAGGGGAGAAAGAGAAGUCCACCAGAUCGAGACUCGGAGAAGCAGAUCUGUGGCUGGGUGAGUGUGCAGCUUCUUCCCGGUGGUCGAGGGUAGGCGGCGGGGUAUGGAGGGGACUGCGUGGUGGCCGCCGUGGUUGGAGGUGGCGAGGGGGCGCUGCGGAGGCAUUAUUUUUUUCGCUUCCCAGCUAGUUUCCUAGGCGCGUACUGAGUUGCGAGGAGUGACUGUGCGUAUUCUAGCUUAGGCAAAACAUUCUGUAAUUUCUGUAAGAGCAAUACUGAUGUCAACGGGUGUACCAAACACUACCAUGGCCAGCUUGCUAACAGUAUUAUUUUAUUGAGUGAUCAGUGUGCAA